rnacentral:rRNA from 1 species
ACUGCAUCUGAUACUGGCAAGCUUGAGUCUCGUAGAGGGGGGUAGAAUUCCAGGUGUAGCGGUGAAAUGCGUAGAGAUCUGGAGGAAUACCGGUGGCGAAGGCGGCCCCCUGGACGAAGACUGACGCUCAGGUGCGAAAGCGUGGGGAGCAAACAGGAUUAGAUACCCUGGUAGUCCACGCCGUAAACGAUGUCGACUUGGAGGUUGUGCCCUUGAGGCGUGGCUUCCGGAGCUAACGCGUUAAGUCGACCGCCUGGGGAGUACGGCCGCAAGGUUAAAACUCAAAUGAAUUGACGGGGGCCCGCACAAGCGGUGGAGCAUGUGGUUUAAUUCGAUGCAACGCGAAGAACCUUACCUGGUCUUGACAUCCAC